GCACCAGUGGCGCAAUGGAUAGCGCGCAGCCCUCCUAAGGCUGAGGUUGUGGGUUCGAGUCCCAUCUGGUGUG
rfam:Eimeria maxima Weybridge genomic scaffold, Emw_scaff133